CUCAAAUCAACACGGAUGGUUGCUGGCUGCCUGCGGCCGAGCGCCGAUGUGCGGAUUGGGCGCCGGCGCCAGCGCCGGCUUGCAGGGGCACGACUGCGCAGUUGAGGUGGCGCGGCCGCCGUCGAGCCCCAAACACCGAGCGGGCGGGACGGACAGGCUGUGGUCCUGGGCGCCCAACGAUCGGCUACACAGGCGGGGACGCGACGAGCGAGCAAGAUGGCGAAAUCCGGAGGUCGCGAAAGGAAGCGAGCGGCUGGCUCGAUGCGUCGGUGGCUGGGUCUGGAACUCCCUACUCUUUUUUUUUCUUUUUUGAGACAUGGAACUCCCUACUCUGGUCUCAGCGGCCAGGGCAAUCCUGGCUGCGUGAAUUUUUUUUCUCAGCAAUCUCAGCCUGGGCAGAGGGUCAUGAAUGGUAUUGGGCUUUUAUUUUAUUUUAUUUUAUUUUCCUGGCCCAUAUUGAAUCAGAUAGGCUGGUCCAAAAUUCCAGGGUGGGCCUAGCUGCCUUCAUAUCAAUUUUACACACGUCAGAACAUCCCUAUGAAAUUUGUUUUAGCCAGAGACAUUCAUAAUAUGAUAUUUCACCUUUCGUAUUAACUGUAUUGUAAGAUCGAAAGUUUUCAUUCAUUUCUAUAUCAAGAAAACAGCAAGUUAUAAUGAGCUUAGGAAAUAAUAUAAUUGCAAUUCCGGUCAUAUGUAUGUUCCGUAUUUUGUGAUCUUUUGAAGCUAUAAGUACUGCAUAUGAUUAUACCAAUUUUUGUACUCGAUGAUUGAACCAUGGCCGUACACAAGUAAUGGUAGGAAAAUCUAACCUAAACAUGUUAAAAAGUGUCCCCUACCUGGGGUCCUUACAUUAAAAAUGACAAUAAAAGUAGAACUAUCCAUUUUGAGAAACAUAGACACAUGGACUGCUAGCACGCGCAGGAGCAUUAGUUGAUGAACAAACUAUUCAUUAUAAGGACUGAGAGGGUAUUCUAGCAAUGACUGGUGAAUGAACACUGGAUUAUGUUGCCAUGGAUUAUGUUGCCAUACAGGGAUAAUAAGUGAGGUAAUAGGAGUAAGGUGAAAAAGUGAAAAUACAAGGAAGUAACUAGAGACAUGACAUUGCACCACUAAAAGAACAAGACUUCUAUAUGACCAAUAAGAAAAACUACUUUUAGAUACACACAAUCGAUGCUUACACCGGAAUACUAUUCACACGGUAAAUGCUUAAAAUUCUUACAUUGUUGGCUAAAAUCCGGACAAAAAUCAUUGAUGCUAAUAGACCAUUGGAUAAGAAACCAAGUGAAAAAUACAAAAAAAAUAUGUAUUAUGAAAUCUAUGUUGUACAUGACAAAUAAAGGAGCAUAUUGAGUCAUGUAUUAUGCCUUAUCUUAUCACAUAAGGACUGUACCAACAACUUCAGGAAUUAAUAAAAGUCGUGCAAAAUAAGAUCUCACAAUGUUUAUAUCUAAAAAUUAUAGAUGUACCGUAUAUAUCUAAAAAAUAUAAGAAAAUCUCAAAUAUAAAGCACCGAAUAUACACCCAUAUAAAUAUAACAACACAUAAAAAUCUAGCCGCGCAAAUGCGCGGAUCACCCCGCUAGUUUUGAUAUAAUUACAGACGUGUUACUGUAAUAUGCAUCGUAAAGUAGGCUGUUGGCUGGCGGUGGCAAAAUGCUGGUGAAGUAAAUUUGGGUGGUUGGUUGCUGGUGAUCUUUUAACUGUAGCGUCGGUGCAACAGUUGGGGUAAAAAGGAGAGCCUGUGCAUUCAGUCUGUCCAUUUGGUUGUGAACAAACGCCUCCACCCAAGUGAAGCGAAGAACAGCUUUGUGCCUAACGGAGAGGGAGAAAUUUCAAGUUGGUGGAUGGAAUGGAGGGACUGCAUUCAUCUAAGGUUUUGAUAGCAACGAGCAGAUCUGAAGAAGAAGACGAUAAGAGAGAGUUAAUCCGUGGUGAUGUUGUUAGUAGUAGCAGCCCGGUAGAUGUUGCUAAGGACUCCUAUCCAAUAGAAGAUUGUGGAAGCACAAAAGGAUCAUUCGGUGGUGUUGGUAACAAUUUCAAGGGGCAUGGCAGAUUCGGAGCAUCGGAUCUGCAGAAAACUAAGGAAAUUAGGAAUUGAAGGGGUUGAGUGGAUAAACAAAAUGGUGCACACAGAUCUUAAUCAUUCAGCUUGGUUAAUGCUUAAUGUCAUGCCUGAUGAGCGUGCUCUAAGAAUUGGGGUAGAUGAUUGUGACAUAGUUCAUAUUAGAGAAGCUGCGACAGCAAACAUAACUAGGAACAGAAUGGGUGGUUCAAUAAAUAUUCCAGUUUGUGAAGGUGCCCCAAGCCAUAGUGAAAUCAAAGUUGUGCGAAGCAUACUGAAACUUUAUGAUGUAACUGAAGAAAUAACAGUUUCUGAACUUGUUGCACUGUUGUUGGGAGAAAGUAAGAAGGGGUUGGAAUUAGAUGAGGAAGGCGCUUCACGCACGGAGAGAUCAUUUGCAAUGCUUUACCUUUCUAUUGCACUUGGUCCGGUGGAGAAAAAAUGUUGUGUGAACAGGAGUUCUUAUAUGAUGGUGAUACUUUAUCCUGAUUUGAAAGAUGUCAAUUGGGGAAAAUAUGUCGUUGAUGAGAUAAUAAGCGGUGCAAGGAAA